rnacentral:rRNA from 1 species
AAUUCAGAUAAACUCCGAAUGCCAUGUACUUAUACUCGGGAGUCAGACUGCGAGUGAUAAGAUCCGUAGUCGAAAGGGAAACAGCCCAGACCACCAGUUAAGGUCCCCAAAUAUAUGUUAAGUGGAAAAGGAUGUGGGGUUGCUUAGACAACCAGGAUGUUGGCUUAGAAGCAGCCACCAUUGAAAGAGUGCGUAAUAGCUCACUGGUCGAGUGACCCCGCGCCGAAAAUGUACCGGGGCUAAACAUAUUACCGAAACUGUGGAUGAACCUCUUUAGAGGUUCGUGGUAGGAGAGCGUUCUAAGGGCGGUGAAGUCAGACCGGAAGGACUGGUGGAGCGCUUAGAAGUGAGAAUGCCGGUAUGAGUAGCGAAAGAAGGGUGAGAAUCCCUUCCACCGAAUAUCUAAGGUUUCCUGAGGAAGGCUCGUCCGCUCAGGGUUAGUCGGGACCUAAGCCGAGGCCGAUAGGCGUAGGCGAUGGACAACAGGUAGAGAUUCCUGUACCAGUGCUAAUUGUUUAACCGAUGGGGUGACACAGAAGGAUAGGGAAUCGCACGAAUGGAAAUGUGCGUCCAAGCAGUGAGUGUGAG